CUCCUAGUCUAAAAGAGAACGAUAAAUCACAGACGGUUUCCUGAGAAGAAUGUGCCCCACUGCUCGGUUAAGAAGGUGCCCAGAGCACAGGGAAGGUCAGGUGGGUGCUGAUCAGGUGAAGAGGGGCAGGGCAGGGGCCCAGGAGCUGCUCGUAAGGCUCCAGAGGCUGUCCUGAGCUCUGUAGGGUGUGGGAUCUGAGAUAAAAUGUAUGUGGCCUGGGUACAAGAUCACGUCAUUAUGCCACAUGUGUCAUGUGGAGUGUGGGAGCAGCAUGUACCAUAUUACGACACAGCAGUUGAGACUAGCUACAGAAGGCCACUGCAUCAAAAAAUCUGGUCCCAGGGUCUGUCCCAGCACGGAGGGAAAGCUGAGGCUGGAGCUGGCACCACCCGCAAGCACUCGGGGCGGGCUCCUGCCCAGGGGAGCGCAGUGCGGGCCCGCGGCUGGCGGCAGUGCACCCCCGCGUAGCAGCAGGGCGGCUUUUACGCGAGAGCCUGAUGAAUUGCAGCCAGUAAAUGGAACCCCGAUAACCGCCUUUCACUAGUAUCCAUCGUAUCGAGAAAUGAUCAGUUUUUAUUGGUUUUUAUAAGAG
ensembl:lncRNA